rnacentral:ncRNA from 1 species
CCAAGAAGUCUAACACAUAUGGGAGUCAGGGCAUGGCCUGAAAUCUGCUGUGGUGCAAUGAGGGUGGUGAAGGCUGGUGGCCGGCCAAGGUGGGAUCCUACAGCCUCUACUGUCAGCCAAGGAUACACCACCGGCCCGUCUUGCCUGCUAUUGGUGAAGUGGAGCAGGAGCGCACAUGUAAAUACCCAAAAGAUGGUGAAAUAUGGGCAGGAUGAAGCCAGAGGAAACUCUGCUUGAGGUCAUAGCCCUUCUGACGUCAAGUUGGUCGUCUGACUUAGGUAUUAGGGGUGAGAGGCUAACCUAGUAGCUGGUUCUUUCCAAAAAACUCCAUUGGGUCGACCAGAAGUCUGGGGCAGGUGUGCGUUUUGAAGGCUGCGGGGUCUCUAGG